rnacentral:lncRNA from 1 species
AAAAAAAAUUGCAUAGCUAUCAGAGGCAUCAUUUGGAAAUAUAAUAAGAGGAACUAUAUAUACUAUAUGAGCUUCAGUGAUAUCAGAUCAAUAGAUUAUGAGAUGGAAAAAAACACUGCACUAUCAGCUGCUCUUCUGCCCCAUUAUUUUAACUUCUAGAUAAACAUCUGGGAAGCACAGGUAUAUGAGGCACAGAAACACAAGGCACUGUGGAUGCCUCUUCUGUCUGGACAGAAAACUGGAGUCAGGAGACCUCUCUGAGUCCCCAGAGACAGAAUCAUCACUACUGUGUGUCCUUGGAUGUCAAGGCUGUCCCUUACAGCAAUGGCUCUGUAAUAACCAUCGAGUUGACUCCUCCAGCUUCCAGUCCCAGAGGUAGAGAAAAAUGGACAGAUGAACAAAAAAGAACAGAAAAAAUCACCCAGAGAUAACCACUGUUAAUCUUUUAGUGGACACAGCUUUCAGAAUUGUUUUCUAUACUAUAUUACUAGAUGAACAUUUCCUACUGAGAACACUGCAUUG